CCUACGGGAGGCAGCAGUGGGGAAUUUUGGACAAUGGGCGCAAGCCUGAUCCAGCCAUGCCGCGUGCGGGAAGAAGGCCUUCGGGUUGUAAACCGCUUUUGUCAGGGAAGAAAAGGUUCUGGCUAAUACCUGGGACUCAUGACGGUACCUGAAGAAUAAGCACCGGCUAACUACGUGCCAGCAGCCGCGGUAAUACGUAGGGUGCAAGCGUUAAUCGGAAUUACUGGGCGUAAAGCGUGCGCAGGCGGUUAUGCAAGACAGAGGUGAAAUCCCCGGGCUCAACCUGGGAACUGCCUUUGUGACUGCAUAGCUAGAGUACGGUAGAGGGGGAUGGAAUUCCGCGUGUAGCAGUGAAAUGCGUAGAUAUGCGGAGGAACACCGAUGGCGAAGGCAAUCCCCUGGACCUGUACUGACGCUCAUGCACGAAAGCGUGGGGAGCAAACAGGAUUAGAUACCCUGGUAGUCCACGCCCUAAACGAUGUCAACUGGUUGUUGGGAGGGUUUCUUCUCAGUAACGUAGCUAACGCGUGAAGUUGACCGCCUGGGGAGUACGGCCGCAAGGUUGAAACGUUAAAGUAGUUAGUUAGGCGUUGNGAGNGCGACGACGACGACGAGGAGGAGGAG
rnacentral:rRNA from 1 species